CUGGUUUCUGGGACAGCUUGGGCCCUUGGUGAGGUGUAAACAGGGUGGGAGGAGCCAGGCCAGGCAGAGGAGGAGGGACCAGCUGCCCUGGGGCCAGACUCACCUGCUGGAGCAUGAGGGCUUGCUGCUGCUGGAGCAAGGCCUGCAGCUGCGGGGGCGACAGGAUCUGCUGCAUCUGUUGCGGGGGUGCUGCCUGACAAAGGUCACUGAGGACCAAGGCACUAGGCCACUCAUUCUCACUGCUGUGAGAGCUGAACUAGAGACGAACGUGGCCCGCAACAGGAAAGACUGAGACCAGACACUCAGAAGAUCUUUCCAGGCACCAGGACUGUGAGUCACUGACAGGAGCAUGUGAAAAAAGGAUGUGGCCUUUCCUUCCUCGGGCCUUUCUUCCUUGGAAGCAGGGGAAUGGAAGAGAUGACCUUGGAAGGCCUCCUUGGCACUUGCUUUUCCUGCCACUUGGCUGAGCAGCUGCCUAUGGAGGCUGCUACAGAGAUCUGGAUGGAUUACAUGGUGUGCACUCGUCUCGAGGUGGCCCACUGGGGUCACAAAGGGUCUGGGAAGUGGCUGCCGCAUGCUGAUCUCCUGAGUUGGUUGACCUCAUCCACCUCUCCUUGUGCCCCUUGGGGGUCUGAGAACUGAGCUGGAGCUCCUCUGGUGUCCCGCUGGCCCCUUGCCAGGCUCAGAUGCCUCAGGAUGGGCGCUCUGCAGCUAGCAGGCUCAGCAGGGCCCAUGAGUCACCAUCUGGAGAGUAGCUGGGCAGCUAAGUGCUAACUUAAGCCCUGGCAGUGUGAGCCCUGGGCCAAACGCCGGCAGCUGCCUCCAGCCCCUCCCUCAGGGACCCUGCACCCACCCAUGAAUACAGCGUGCUCGGCUGGACGGUCUGACUGGAAGGAACAGGGACAGUGCCUGACACACAGGAAGCUUAUUUGAGGGCUGAGAGUGGGAACGAAUGCAAUUUGGUGCCAGGGUCAAGAACCCAAAUUGUCUCUUGAGUAUGGGGUCCCUGUGAGUGGGGGGCAAUGUGGGGAGAUCAGGCCAGAGUUUGGUUUGGCUUAAACUCUCCUGCAAAUGACCAGAAGUCCUCAAACUAAUCCUGGGCUGCAGCUGCAGCAAGGAAAGAUAGCAGUGAGAUAUAAAGAAGAACUUCUGAAAAUGCCAGAUGGGGAUGGACGAAGCCAAGGCCCCAGCCACCUUUGCCCCCAUCAUGUCCUCAACUCUCGGCCACCUGUGCUGCCUUCUAUGAUAGGUCUCUCCCUGGUGGGGUCCAGGCCUGGAAGGAGGGCCCCUCACUAGGCUGGAGCUGGAGACCUGACAAUAGUUUUGGAAACUCUUCUGAAGCUGGCUCUGGAGGAGAGGGAUGGUGAACGUGGCUGGGAGGUGCGUGGGCAGAAAAUCCUGCUGGGGAGCAGAGCAGCGUUCUGUGGGGAGCCCUGGGAAAGGAGCUGCGCUUGAUCUCCCUUCAUUAUCCACUGCACUCAGGCUCAAGAUGCACUCUUCUGCUCGGGUGGGGAGCCCAGUCCUUGCUCUCCCCUAUCCCCUCACCAAUCUUGAGCUCAUAGAAGAACAUUUCAAGGCCCUGGGCCCUACUUCAGGACAAGGAUCUGACCUCCUUGGAGAUAAUAAACUUAGGAAUAGGGGCAGAAGGCAAGGAAGGUAUUCAGGGUUGGAGAAGAAAUAGAGGGAUCAAUAUAGGUAGGGAAUCCAGGCUCCUGGGGAAGCAUGGCUCCAUGGCCCCAAGAACCCCCAUAUCCCUGAGACCCUGAGAACCAUCUGGCCUAGGCUUCUACACCAGGGAAAUAUUGGCAUUAUUACCAAUAUUGUGCCAAGCACAAGGGAUCGUCACAAUGCAGAGAUUAAAAGUGUGAGUUCUACUGGCCGGGCACGAUGGCUCACGCCUGUAAUCCCAGCACUUUGGGAGGCAGAGGCGCGCAGAUCACCUGAGGUUGGGGGUUUGAGACCAGCCUGACCAACAUGGAGAAAACCUAAAAACACAACGCUACUAAAACCUACUAAAAAUACAACCCUACUAAAAAUACAAAAUUAGCUGGGCUUGGUGGUGCAUGCCUGUAAUCCCAGCUACUUGGGAGACUGAGGCAGGAAAACUGCUUGAACCCGGGAGGCAGAGGUUGUGGUGAGCUGAAAUCACGGCAUUGCACUCCAGCCUGGGCAACAAGAGACUCCAUCUCAAAAAAAAAAAAAAAAAAGUGUGAGUUCUGGAGCUAUUGGGUUCAAAUCCUCACUCUGUCUUUUAUUUGUUGUAUAACUUUGGACAACUUUCUUAACCUCUCUGGGCCUCAGUUUCCUCAUCUGCAAGAUGGGGCUAGAAUAGCACCUCUCCCAUAGGACUGUGAGGAUAAAUGAGAUAGCUGUAAAGCGCUUAGUGUCUACACUUCAUGGUAAGCACUCUGUAUAUGUCAGUUGUUAGUUUGGGAUGUACUCAGUAAGUAUUUGUUGAAUGAAUGAAUGAAUCAAUCAAUGAAUUUUUGGAAGUAAUGAGACAAGGAGAGAGAAGGCCUGAGAAAAACAUCAUUUUAUCUGUCUUUCUGACUCUGAAACCUCUAGGCCUCUCUUAUUUUGGAGGGAGGGAGUUUCCUAAGGAAGAUUCCAUAGUCUCCCUUCAGCUCUCAAUUAUUUCAGAUCUGUGACCCUUAAUCCCCAGCUGAGCAGUCCUUCUAGAUGUCUUACCCCAGUCCCUCCCACUACCAUCAAGCUCCUACCCUCCUACCCCUGGGUCAGCAGCCCCUUUCUGGUUUGGGGGAACGUUUGCUGUUGUCCAGCCUACUCCUUCCUGUUCUAAGCUGGGUCCAGGGCGGGCAGGAUUCAGAGUGGAAGCCCAAGGACCACUUCAAACCCUGGGAUUGUAUGUGGGGAUCAUUAAUUUAAAGAGGCCCAAUCCUGACCAGCAUGGGUAUGAGAACCUUUUAGAUCUCAUUCUGAUGAGAUCUUUCUCUUCCUCUCUUUAUUGACUUUCCAGAUUGUGUCUUCCCCUCCUCCACCCCAGGCCACGCCCUGAUCUUUGCCCAGCUCCUCCCCUUUGAGGGUUGUCUCCUUAGGGUCAAGAAUUUUAAGAGGGUUACUGUUAAGGCUGCACAUCUGUUGGGCACCUUGAACUUUUUCCAAACAUAAACUUGUUUUACAUAAAACUCAGACUUUGUCAGAGCACUGGAAUCUCCACCCAGGACAAAGCCUGGUCCUGGGUCCUUCUCUGAGCACCCUGCACCCACCCCACCCUCCUCUUCACUUCCCUCAGCACCCAGCCCCAGACUCCAGAGCACCUCCAGCUCAGAACCAACCAUACUCACCCUUCUUCCCUUAGAUAAACUUCCUUUCAAAGCCUGGCUUAAUCCCUUCCCCAAUUCUGAGCCUCCCUCUGCUGGGGGAGGGGUGGGGGGAGCAUGGAUCCCGGGCUGCUGGGCAGAGGGGGAGGGGAGUGGCUGCCCGAGUAGUGACCCAACCCGGACUCAGACUGCAAUUCUCCCAAGUUCUUUGUGACACAAAAGGUAAACAGAAGGCCUGGCUCCCCCACCCCCCGCCCACCCCCCACAGAUCUCCCCUCCCCCAGCCAGCCAGAUGGGCUGGCAAGCUGGAGGGAAGGGAGAAGGGGAAAAAAGGGCAGAUUGUGCAAAGGAAAACAAAAGAGACAGAGAGACAUCAAGAGACAGGAAGCAUGGAGAGACUGCGAGAGAGCUGGUGGAUGAGGGAUAAGGGGGGAGGAUAAGAGAAGGGGGGACUUGGUGACGUGACUGCAGCAACAGAGAUGGCCUGGGAGGGGCUGAGCCCCAGACACAGGAACACAGAGGGACAGAGGGAGUGACCGACAGGGACGCAGAAACAUGAGAAGUGACCAAGAGAGACCCUGAAGGGAAGAGGCAGGGGAGAACAAACAGUGAGAGAGGUACAAAGAGACAGGGAGAGCUGCAGACAAACUUUGAGUGACAGGGACAAAGAGGCUAAGCUAGCGGAAGGUCUGGCUGAUCAGGUGGAGACGAGAGAAAGUGGGAAGCCUUUUUGCCCCACCCCUGCAGUGACUGUAUUUCCUUUGAAAAGUUGCCCACUUUUUGGUGUUGGAACUGGCAAGAGCAGUUCUCCAACGGGUCCUUGCCCUCCCUCUGUGCCAGGCCCACACUCCAGCCCAACCCAGAGCCAGCGGGGUGCUCUCUUCCUCACCUGCACAGCAGAGGCAGACUGUUUGCUGUCAUUGUUCCCUGGGGAGCUCAGGCCUGAGGCCUGCUGCAGCAGGAACUGCCGGGCCACUUGGAGAGCCUGCAAGACAGGGGCUGAGUCAGCAAUGGCCUGGGAGGCUGGGUGGGAUCCAGGGAUUAGGGAGUGUUUGGGGCAGUAAGGAGAAGGAGAUCAGGGUAAGGUGGAAGGUCUUGGGGGUGAGAGGGUCAUGGGUCCAUAAGGGCUUGGGGUAAGGGUAGUAGAAGUCACUGAGAAGAGCUGUUGGGGUUCAGGGAUCAGAGCCUCUACAGACUCAGCCUGGGACCCAGUGAAGUUUUGUUAGGACUCAAUGGGGACAGCAAAUGGAAGGGCCCAUGGUCAAAAAGGGACUCUUAGAGGAAAAUAAAGGGGGUUGACUCAGGGCAUUAGUAAAUCAGUACUAUUUGUUGAGCAUCUACUAUGGGUCAGGCACUGUACAGGCAAGAGCUUAUUUAAUCUUCCUCUGUAAGGCUGUAAGGUAGGGAUUAUUGCCCCAUUUUGCAGAUGAGGAAACGGAGUCUCCAGGAGGUUAAGUAACUUACCCAGGAUCAUACAGCUAGGCGGCAUCAGAGCCAAGAUUUGAGCCCAGGAAGCCUGGCUCCAAGGCCAACUGCCUUACUGGGUGGUCAGUCUGGGGGCUAAAAAGUAGCAUUCACUGUGGAGCCAGAGCACACAGUUGGGAGGAUGAGGGAAGAGCCCUGGGGUCAGUGGCACAAGGUCUGAGUACCGUGUGACUUUCUGAGUUCAAGGAUUGUACAUGCAUGCUGCUGGAGGAAUUAGAUUAAGUUCUGAAAGGUAUACUAUCAGCAGAGAUGCAUGGACCAUCGUGCUGUGGGCUUGGUGGCCACAGUGGCUUAGACUGAACUGAGCCAGAGGGGUCAUACGAGUGGGAGGCAUAUGGAGAUUGCUGGAGGAAUCACUCCAGUGGGUCAGUGUGACAGUCAAGGAGUAGGAGGGGCCCGGAAGGUAAACUGAUGGGCAGUGAGACGUCUGGUAGGAGUGAGGGGUCAGGAGGGCCCAGGAAAUUAUCUAUGAGGCCAGUCAAGCCCUCUAUGUCCUCACUAUGCUUCAGUGGGAGGUUUGAAGGCAAGUUCUGAAUCCACAUUUCAGCAGCACAAAAUUUAUCUGCUUCCAGAUUGCUCAAGACCCCCUUGGGAGCCAGUGCAGGUGUGUCUAAGCCCUUGACACAGGGCUCCAACCUUAGGCAGUCCUGGGUCUGAAUCCCAGCUGUGCGGCCUGCCAGCUGCGACCUUGGGCAAGUUAUUCCAGUUCUCUGCACUUCAGUCUCCUUAUCUGCAAAACUGGGAAACUACCCAUCUCCAAAUUACUAGGGGGAUUAAAGGACCAAUGUUUGGCAUCCAGUUGGCAUUCGGGAAGUAUUCACUCCCUUCGGCUCUCAUUAAUCUCUCCACAAUUCUCCACUUCACCUCCUCCAGCCUCUCCCCAACAUAGCCUCGUGCCCUGCGCACUUAUUAGACGAAAUGCGCCCGCCUGUGGCUCUCUCUCACAUCUGUCCACACAUACACUUGUUUUUUCUGUAUGGGCCCCUAUUCUCCUACCCCACCACAAGCACCUUCAAGGCAAAACCUUUUAAGGUGGGAUAUGGCUGCACCACCCAUCAUCGCUCAACAAGCAAAGAGAGUGACCACUGUGUACCAAGCAUAUACACACAACCACCUUCGCGUCCGUUCAUCAUCAGUGCAAACAGCCGAGCCUCCUGAGGCUUUAAAUCUAGUUUACCCUAGGAGGGCAACUAAAUAUGCACUGGCCUAUUGACGGGAAGGUGUCCUGCAGCAAACCUGGAGCUCAGAUUGGUGUGCUCCUCACAGGCCACCCCCACCCCACCUCCUUCCCUGGAUGUCACACCCAGAGAAGUGCCCUGGGCUUCCAGAGGGGGACAGGAUGUUUCUCCUCUUCCAGAUUCACUUCAGAAAGCAGAAAUCUGACCUUUCUAAGUCAAAAGGCUCUGCGGAAAGAGGAGGAAGGGUGGGGGGGGGGGUUGCGGGUGAGGAAGGGCAGGGAGUCAGGUGGUCAUUAGGAAGGAGCCCCUGCCUCUACUACCUUGCUUUUACAAACUCCUCCAGGUCUACUGACAAGUGCUCUUUGUCCUCCAAAGGUGGAGGUAGAGUAGGGUUGAGGGGGUACAGGGGUCAGAGGCCAGGGCACAAGGGUAGGGGAAGAAGAUGG
rnacentral:lncRNA from 1 species